rnacentral:rRNA from 1 species
GAUGAACGCUGACAGAAUGCUUAACACAUGCAAGUCAACUUGAAUUUGGGUUUUUUAACUUAGAUUUGGGUGGCGGACGGGUGAGUAACGCGUAAAGAACUUGCCUCACAGCUAGGGACAACAUUUGGAAACGAAUGCUAAUACCUGAUAUUAUGAUUAUAAGGCAUCUUAGACUUAUGAAAGCUAUAUGCGCUGUGAGAGAGCUUUGCGUCCCAUUAGCUAGUUGGAGAGGUAACGGCUCACCAAGGCGAUGAUGGGUAGCCGGCCUGAGAGGGUGAACGGCCACAAGGGGACUGAGACACGGCCCUUACGCCUACGGGAGGCAGCAGUGGGGAAUAUUGGACAAUGGACCAAGAGUCUGAUCCAGCAAUUCUGUGUGCACGAUGACGUUUUUCGGAAUGUAAAGUGCUUUCAGUUGGGAAGAAAAAAAUGACGGUACCAACAGAAGAAGUGACGGCUAAAUACGUG